UACGGGAGGGGCUAGCGUUGUUCGGAAUUACUGGGCGUAAAGCGCACGUAGGCGGCCUUAUAAGAAGGGGGUGAAAUCCCUGGGCUCAGCCCAGGAACUGCCUUCAUGACUGCAAAGCUCGAGGAUGUGAGAGGUGGGCGGAAUUCCGAGUGUAGAGGUGAAAUUCGUAGAUAUUCGGAAGAACACCGGUGGCGAAGGCGGCCAACUGGCACAUUUCUGACGCUGAGGUGCGAAAGCGUGGGGAGCAAACAGG
rnacentral:rRNA from 1 species